UACGGGGGGGGCAAGCGUUGUUCGGAAUUACUGGGCGUAAAGGGCUCGUAGGCGGCCUACUAAGUCAGACGUGAAAUCCCUCGGCUUAACCGGGGAACUGCGUCUGAUACUGGAUGGCUUGAGUUUGGGAGAGGGACGCGGAAUUCCAGGUGUAGCGGUGAAAUGCGUAGAUAUCUGGAGGAACACCGGUGGCGAAGGCGGCGUCCUGGGCCAGCACUGACGCUCAUGCACGAAAGCGUGGGGAGCAAACAGG
rnacentral:rRNA from 1 species